rnacentral:misc_RNA from 1 species
AACGCACAUUGCGCCCCCUGGUAUUCCGGGGGGCAUGCCUGUCCGAGCGUCAUUGCAACCUUCAAGCGCGGCUUGUGUAUUGGGCCUCGUCCCCCGUGGACGGGCCUGAAAGGCAGUGGCGGUACCGAUUUCGGUGCCUGAGCGUAUGGGGAUCAUCUCCGCUCUUUAGGCCCGGUCGGCGCCCGUCGUCACCAAAUUUUUUACCGGUUGACCUCGGAUCAGGUAGGGAUACCCGCUGAACUUAA